rnacentral:misc_RNA from 1 species
UCAAGGCUAGUUAGUGAAGUAAGACCUAUUUCGUUGUUAAUUUUCUUUUUUUUUCCCUUUUUUUUUCCUUCAUCAUUGCAAUUUUUUCUCUUGUAAUCCACAGAAGUUAGUUGAUUAAAGCCUGUGUUAUUGUAGUAAUGUUAUAUGUUUCUCACUGCUAUCUUAGUGUCGAGGGUGAAAUAUCAUCCUUAGCCUUGAAGGUUUUAAAUCUCUCUUUUGUUCAUUAGUUAUUUGUUUCUUGUAACAAUUAAGGUAAGUGGUCUAUUGUGCCAAUGUAGAUAGUUUGUGCUUAUUUUUGGGUUGUCUAAAUGUGGUAUUAUUUCAGGUCAAGUAAUCAAGGGGUGGGA